rnacentral:rRNA from 1 species
UACGUAGGGGGCAAGCGUUGUCCGGAAUCAUUGGGCGUAAAGAGCGUGUAGGCGGCCCGAUAAGUCCGCCGUGAAAGCCCAGGGCUCAACCCUGGGAUGCCGGUGGAUACUGUCGGGCUAGAGUUCGGAAGAGGCAAGUGGAAUUCCUGGUGUAGCGGUGAAAUGCGCAGAUAUCAGGAGGAACACCAGCAGCGAAGGCGGCGCUCUGGGCUGGAACUGACGCUGAGGAGCGAAAGCGUGGGUAGCAAACAGG